rnacentral:lncRNA from 1 species
CCUCCACCGACCUCGUCCCCAACCUCACGCUGCGCAGCCUCAUCGCGCACUGGUCCGCCUCCGCCGCCUCCUCCCGCCUCCCCCCCCCCCGCCGCCGGCUCCGUGGGCUCCGGCGCUGGCCCUUCCCCCGCGUGCCUCGUCCGGCAGGUCGCGUCGUCGGACGCUGACCCUUCCACGGCGCUGCGUGCGCUGGCGGCGUAUCUCUCCGACGAUGACGUUGACGAGUUUGAGAAGAAUACGCUGGUGGGCGCCGGCGGCGCCGCCGAGACAGUGGCGUCGGUUCUUAGGAGGAAGGGUGAGCAGCAGAUAAGCGUCGAGGGCGCCGAGGCGGCCGUCAGGGUGCUCGCUGCUACCGUCGCGUUGGAUGGAAUCGAGGAUGCGAACAAGAAGCGGGUAGCCGCCGGCCUCGCCGCCGAUGCGUCGGCGUCGGCUGCGUCCCUGGCACGCGUGCUGCGGGGAGGGAGCGGCUUGGAGGCGAGGAUCGACGCCGCCAGGCUGGUCGAGUUCUUGCUAGCCAAUGCCGCCGGCGAGGCGAAGGAGGCGAUCGCCGAGUCAUCGGAGCUGGUCGGAGAGCUGAUACGGCUCCUCGGCCCCCGCCGCGGGGAGGGNNNNNNNNNNNNNNNNNNNNNNNNNNNNNNNNNNNNNNNNNNNNNNNNNNNNNNNNNNNNNNNNNNNNNNNNNNNNNNNNNNNNNNNNNNNNNNNNNNNNNNNNNNNNNNNNNNNNNNNNNNNNNNNNNNNNNNNNNNNNNNNNNNNNNNNNNNNNNNNNNNNNNNNNNNNNNNNNNNNNNNNNNNNNNNNNNNNNNNNNNNNNNNNNNNNNNNNNNNNNNNNNNNNNNNNNNNNNNCCCCCCGCCGACGCCGCGGCGGCGUCGGAGGGCGGCCUGACGAGGCUCCUGCUACUGCUGCAGAGCGGGUGCUCGCCGGCGGCGAGGCAGAUGGCGCUCGGGCUGCUCAAGAUUUACAAGGUGAACGCCAAGAGCUGCCUCGCCGGCUACGACUCCAAGACCACCCACAUCAUGCCGUUCUGACCUAAAAAUCGAAGCUUGGUCCGGCGAUCAUGCAGUGGAAGUGGUGCCAUGGAACAGGAGAUCAACUUCUUGUUCCCUUCUACUCUUCUUCUUCGAUGUUUUCUUUUGUUUUUUUUCUUAAUUGUAAGUUUAUAGAGAAACAGGAGAUCGAAUUGAUUCGUGAAGGGAAGAACAAAAAUAAUCUGUACAUGGGUAGAGAGAGUUUUGAUAGGAAAAACAAAAUCAAUGGGAAAUUAACCGAUGAGUUGAUUCUUAGUCCAAAAGUUUGCAAUUUUGCAUGAUCAGAAGAGACGCACGGAAACAUCUCCAAAUCAAAUUCCUUCUGUAUUUGCGAUAUUGGUCGAUCAUGCAUCUCCACUCGAUGCACAAGCACAACAACUUUGGGAACAAAGCGAAACUGAUCGGUGCCGUGGUCUGGCACAGAAUUAGAGAUUACAGUGUGCAUGGCAUAUCUUCCAAGUCAGAAAGCAACACGCAUGGUCAUCAGAGGAUAAGCCUAACGAGACGAGACGCCUCCUACAGGCUGGCAAAUUUAGGCUUUUUUUUUUUUUCAAAAACAUCACAUUAAAUUUUUAGUCAUCUAAAUAAAGCAUUAAAGAUAGAUAAAUUAAAAAAACUAAUUACACAUUUACGAAAGAAAUCUUGAGAUGAAUCUUUUGAGCCUAAUUAGCCCUUGAUUAAUCAUAAGUGCUGCAGUAAUCUUCCAAGUCAGAAAGCAACACGCAUGGUCAUCAGAGGAUAAGCCUAAUUUAGAUGACUAAAAAUUUAAUGUGAUGUUUUUGAAAAAAAAAAAAAGCCUAAAUUUGCCAGCCUUUUUUUCAUUCGUGUCUGAAAAUUCCUUUCAAUAUCCGUUCAAAUAUUUGAUGUGACAUUUCUCCCAAAAUUUUCUCAAUCUAAACAUCACCUAAGAUGGUGUUUGGGACAAUAUACUAAUUCCCUUGUCCUAUCGAAUAUUUGGAUGCUUAUUAUAAAUAGUAAACGUGGACUAUUAAUAAAAUCUAUCUAUAAUCUUGACUAAUUCGCGAGACGAAUCUAUUGAGCCUAAUUAAUCUAAAAUUAACCUAUGUGAUGCUAAAGUAAACAUGCUCUAAUUAUAGAUUAAUUAGGCUUAAAAAAUUUGUCCCGCUGAUUACCAUUCGUUUGUAAAAUUAGUUUUUUAUUAAUUUAUGUUUAAUACCUGUUAAACAUCCGAUGUGACAUGGGCUAAAAACAUCUAAACAACCCUUAGACCAAAGCCCCUGUUCGAUUUGACCGGUCAUGCAUCAUGUCUGGUUCGCGCCACCCGCGUGCUAUGGAGGCGACGAGACGUGUCCGUGCCGCCAGGCCAUGUCUGAACGGACCAACCGAACAAUUCGUGUGACAUGUUUUUCUCUCCAGCAAGCAAGCAAGGCGAAUACUGGAGAAUAUAUCUUGACGAAACUGCUGCUUUCACCUAUAAAUCGAAACAUUCCACCUAAUCUUUUCGCGCUACUGCUUAUAAGCCAUAAUUUAAUUUAUAAUUGAAUUUAAGGUUUUAGCUGAAAUUUAUUUUCAGUCUGGUGUCUAGAUCAUCAAGAAUAUAUAUAAAAGUUUUAUUUAUAAAUUAUUUUUCGUUUAAGAAUAUACCGUGUAGUGAUUGCCCAUUCUAUCACUGUUCCGAACAAAAAGGGUCUUAAUGGGGUCAUUGAUCGAUCACCUAACUAAAGCCAAUCACACGAGGAAAAACAAAUUAACUUCCUUUCUGCUUUAUUAGUUCUAGGAAUUAGUAGCAGUUUUCUAUAAUGUGAUCGGACGCAGCGCGAGUAGGCGACCGGCCAGGCAAAGAACCAAAGUUUCCGGUGAUCUCUUUAUAGUUUUUUUAAGUCGUAACCAAAGGCGAGAGGGAGUCAUCGAGUCAAUCCCGCGCAGCUCGUAAAUUGUUGUUUAGGAGAUACGGGCAGCGGUGAUAGUUGACUCACGAGGACGCCCUUUUGGUCUUUUGGGGCCUUGAAUUAGGCGAGAAGAGCGUGAAGCACUUCCUCCUGUGUUCUUAUUUAAUGUCGUUGGCUAUUAAAAUUUUUAUAUAAAUAAAAAAAGGUUAAAAGUAGGGGCGUAAGGAGUCUAUCCACGAACCCGCUUAAGUCAGUUAAGUGAGCAACCCGUUUAAUUGGUCGAUUGGCGAACCGGCCGACUGUUAAAAGCCAGAAUUAAAAUUAGUUUAAUAACAAAGUAACUCGUUAAAUAAGAACAAAAUGACAAACUAAAAUAAAAAAAUACUACAGUACGUAGGCGAUGGGAGAAGGCAGGCCGGCCAUGCCAUGCCGACCGAUGGUGCCAAGGAAGGAAGGUCCGAGAAGGUGGGCGGUGGGUGUUAUGUGCCCUUUUUUUGACUGCAGCGUGCCCUACCGAUCCCUAUACAAGCUGGCCGCCGUCCACCCUGUCUUCGAUCAGCCAAGGAAAAGGAGUAAAAAGAUGGAACCAGUUACUGCGCGAAUGCUAAUAACACGACGAUCUCGUUUCCAAUGGUAUUUUAGACUUCAUUGAAAGGCAGUUUUUUAAGUUGGGACUCAUUCACUCGCCUAGGAGAGGUGCUAAAUUUAGCUCUCCAAAAUUUUAACUUUAAACUUAAAGUUGAUUAGGGGAUUUAUAGUAGUUUAUUUUUUAACUUUGGUUUUUAGAUCGCUAAGAACACAUAUAAAAUUUUUAUCUAUAAAUUAUUUUUUAUGUACAAAUAUGUCUUUUUGUCUUUAAAAACCAAAAGAUCACCCUGAUUGUUUGAUUUAUCAUCACCCAUAAUUAUCAUUUUCAUAUUCCUACCUACUCCAACAAACUAUACAUAUUAGAGAGAACCAACCAAUUUCUCCAUCCAUGUUAAGAGGAUCCAUACAAAGGAAGAAAGGGAGGAGAGAUUGUGUAUGGGAAAAAAUAACGAUGGCACUCACAUUUCGGAUUUAGCCACUCCGAUAGGUUGUUCGUUCAAAUGGAUUGUCUGUUUAGCCUUGUUUUAAUUUCUUUGCUAUGUUGGCUAAUAUAUUAUAUGCAGAAUGAGAUUCCAUGUUCUUUGAGAUGUUCUGAGCUAGUGGCAGUGCUAACUACACCGUUGACUGCGGGUGACUAACAAUAAUUUUUUAACAAUCUAGUACCAAUUUUCUUGAAUCUCGAAGGCAUUUUGUAGUGGAGACAACAGUGAUGGAGCCUACUUAGUCGUCCAACUUGCUGAGGAGUUGCCUCCGUCACUGCUCAAAGCAAAAUCAACUAGCCAAUGUGUAUUAACGUAGAGUCAAUUCUCUCAAAACCACUUCAAACACUAAAGUAAUACACCCGGCUGUAAGUGAUCGACAUGUACUUUGCAUUUCAAUGAUGAGUAGCAAAGCUUGACAUCACAUAUCCCUCCACAGCGCCCAUGUGGUCAACUCAAUGGGUGACAAAAACCUUUGUUAUUGUCACCCGCAACCUUCUCUACUGCCUUUAUCCCUGAAAACUUGUGGCAUGCAGGAAGAUGACAAUAGGGAUUUGUUUGCCACCCAGUUUUGGCAUGAAGAACUAGUCGUAUAGCGUGACAUAAAACUAGGUCAGACUCCUCCAUGGCUAGAUCCAGAAGAAGCUAAGAGGGUGACUGAAGGCAGCUAGGGAAACGAUUAUGGCGCUGACCAGAUCCAGCUCCUCAAAUGGCUAAAUUCAAUGUUCCCUUGGUGGAAGCAUCCAAACACACAUGACAAGUCCAAUUGCAAUUGGUGUAGCGUAUGGUCAACAAUGAGGAAAGGACAAGGCAACGACUGAUCGUGAGAGAGUUGUAAGCAAGUUGGGAGACAUGGCAAAGGAGGCGAAUGGUGUUAAUAGUUGUGGUAAGGCUAACGCCCAAAGUGUGGUGGCGCAUGGAGAUGAUAAUCGUGGGUGGACCAGCAAUGUUAGAGGGUGCAAAUGGUGACAAUGAUUAUGAGACAUGCGGAGGUGAAUUGUGAUACCUCGGUGAGGAAGCUGGUUAGAGCGAUGGCGACAACUACAUUCUAGAAGACGUGAGAUAGUGAUGGCUUUGGGAGGUGUCUUAGCCCCAGUGACAAGGGUUAAUUGGCUUAUCGUUUCUAAGCCAAUACCUUGCCCUGCGGUCUAUCGGGCUAAAAUUGGUGAGGCUUUAAGCAUUAGAUCCCUUAUGGGUAUUUAUCGAGGUGUCCUGCUCAUGCUCUCUAAGUAAAAAUAGGAACAUUCCUAAAUUUUCUUGGGUUGGUGGGCAGAGACAUUUUCGGUGUUGUGGUCUUCCUCUUCGUUGGAGACCUUAUCUUCGGUUUUUGACAGCUAAAUAAGCUGUUUUUGUUGGCAUUGACAAGUUCUUCUCUCACAUACUAUCUUAUUAUAACCAUUCUGUAUGGUGGUGUCAAGAAGCAUAUGUUUUUACCUUUUCAUGAUUAGUUGGCUUCAAACAACGACAUUAGGGGGGUGUUUUGUGGCACCCCUCGUUGUCACAUUGGCAACGAUUAUAUAAGGAACUAGCAAAUCUUUCUUCUCUCGGACUCUCUUCCUCUUAAAUUCAAAACUAGGACGACAUAUUGCAGCGUUCAAUCUCUGCUUAUCGGUUUGCCAUCGUUGGCUUUCUCGGCGUUGGUGGCUUGAUUGGCGAGGUGCAUUCUUGAUACUCUUCUGAUGAUGCAAAACUAAUACUUCUAUGAGAUGUUGUGCCCAACGUUUUCUCUUCUCUGUCGUGAAGUCCAUUUCUUUUUUUCUCCUAUUUAAUUUUCAAACUAACUAUCGUUGCAAAUUGCCGUGGAUUCACCAUGUCCUAGAGGCACAUCAUGUCUUAAUUAUGGCAUCACUUUCAUUUACGCAAUUAUGCCCUUCUUUAAUUCCGGUAUCCUUUGUCUAUCUGGAGAAUCAAUUGGUUCCAACGUAACCCUGAUACACUCGGUUUACUUCAGUCAGCCAGCGCUAAAAAAGAGAGAGAGAUCGAAGCAAAGCAGAUACGUACGUGCGGACCACGAAAUACCGCACUAGUAGGCCGCGGUGACCGACCAUGCGGAUCCGUCCGUGGACGCGUUUACGUGCGGACCACCCCCCGCGCAUCCACGGACCUUUUUCGCGUGGAGUUCACUCUCACACGGCGAUCGAUCCCGCAAUCGAGACAGGGAGCUCGGAAGCGUGCGUGCGUGCGUCCAGUCACCAGUCUCAUCGACGGCUUGCUGCGGCUCUGAUUUUCCUGCGCCAGGUGACUCGAGGUGACCAGACCUGCCGCUGCCCGUAGCCAGGGCUAGCAGGUAGCAGCAGCAGCAACCAGGGCUGGCUGGCUCUGAUGACCACGUAACCCGCACUACAAGGAAACGCAAGAGAUCCUGGUGCUCCGAACCCACGGCGAGGCGAGGCACGCAAAUGCAGCCACACGGUCGGUCGCUGCCGUGCCGUGCAUUGGUGCCCCAGUCUUCGUCGCCACAGGGUUUACUACUGUACUGGACUAGUACUCGCUUUUCUACCUCCUUUGCAUAGUUGCUCACCGAUUCUCGAACGUCUUAUCUAUUUCAUUCUUUAUCAUGAAAAUAGAAUUGAGCUUCAAUAGUACAGUGAUCGUAUUAUCUAUUUUUAGAUGUGAUCCAUAUUAGAAGAAAGAAACUUCAUAUUUAAGAUGAUCUCUCAAACUUCAUAUUUAGAUGAUCUCUUCAUCCUUCAAAGAGAUACAGAGGAUGUCAUAUAUGAAUGAUCUGGUGAAGUACAAAUAGAUAUGAAGGAUAAAACUAUUUUAGAUAAUCAUCUAAAUAAAUAUAUAGAUGAUCAAAUUUAGAUAAGCUGUUAGGAGUUAGAUGCUCUAUGGCUCAUGCACUGGGGCGAUUGUGUGUGCUGACUUGGGCAGGCGUGCACCUCAGCUCAGAUUGCGAAUUAGGCCGGCCUGCACUUUACCUCGGAUUACGUCCGGCUUUAAACUUGUUGAGUGGACUAGAGGAGCCGGUGAUGGCCCAAUAUAUAUGGGUCGAUUUCCAUCUGCCUUUUUCGGCUGUUACGCGCACGAUCGAGCGACCAAACAGCGGACCGUACCGGAGCGAUACGUGUAUCGCACUCGCUAGAUUUCGACUUCAGCCUUCGGUUGCUCGCUGGACUAUAGACCGGUCCUAUUAUGGCUUUUCAACUAAGGAGAUGAGCCCAGCCCAUUAACCCCCCUCGAUUGCUGGCCCAUACGGUGUGCCAUGGGAGCGUAGAACCUGUAAAUGUAACUCGAGCGCGUGUGGAAGUCCAUGCAAUGCAUGCCUACCUAGGGCCUUUCCUUUCCAAGUUUGAACGUCGUGCGUGCGUGCGUGUUUACCGUACUCGCGAUCAGUGGCAGGCUGGCAGCCAACCCCAGACCAGGAGAUCGAAACAACAUAGACAUAUAGAUAGAUAGAUGAUGGAAGUGUUACGCUGUUGUGUAUAUAUAAGCGGUUGCAUGGGUAGAGCGUUUCACAUGUACACUGCCGCCCACGACGUGCUGUGCAAACCAGCAAAAAUAUAUCAAUAUACAUGGGUGGCAAAACCGCUCUCCUGGUGGCCCUAGUGGCCAUGGGCCUCGUCCUGGAGACCCCGGCGGCCGCCGGCUACGGCGGCGGGUACACCCCUACGCCGACGCUGCUGAAGCACGACCCGAAGGCGGAGACGACGAAGCCACAGCACAAGCCGAAGGNNNNNNNNNNNNNNNNNNNNNNNNNNNNNNNNNNNNNNNNNNNNNCGGCCGCCGGCUCCGGCGGCGGGUACACCCCUACGCCGACGCUGCUGAAGCACGACCCGAAGGCGGAGACGACGAAGCCACAGCACAAGCCGAAGCCGCCGCCGCCACACCACGACAAGCCUGUUACGUCGCACUCGCACAGGCCGCCGGCCAGCACUCCCCCCAGUCCCACCAACGACGGCGCCACGCCGGCGACGACGCCCAGGAAGGCUCUAUCCGCGCCGCCCUCGCCGCUUCCGAACGCCUCCCCUACCCCGAACGACCCGCGCCUCCGGCGUGCACCUACUAGAACUCGAAGCUGCCAGCGCCGAUCGAUCGAUGGCUCAGCCUCCAGGCGUGGAUCCACAGCUGUGUCGCCGGCAGGGUUAAUGGACGACUCCAACGACGUGAUCCGGCCGACCGGGCGUGUUCGUCGGCGUAAUAUUGUUGGUGGCGACUCCACCAGCCGAGGCUUGUUGAACCCAUCCCGCUGAUUGAACUGCAGGAGUAGCUCACUGGCUACGUACCGUCCGGUCCAUUCAACAUGAUUUAUUUGUUAAUUAACAAAUUAUGGCUGUUUUAGCUCUUAUUAUAGUCGUUAACACGUACGUUGCACGGUACUGUAAGAUUUAAAUUUCAAAUUUUAGUUGUAUUAUAAUAUUUUAUUUCAUGUUCGUAACUUUGUAAACUUAAUUUAGGAAUUGGGAAAGAAAUAAGUACAUGGUGGUACUUGAGUUGAAGUCUCAUUUAGAUAAUGGAGAAUACCAUAUGACAUUUAUAUGCUUUAAAAGAAGCUAUAACCACUUUAUAUGAGUUAUAAAUCAAAACAGGCAUAAUUACAAAAUCAAAGUGAUGACAAAAAGGAUAAACAAGUAGGCACCAAAGCAAGAGAUAAAAUUAAGAUAUCGUAUUCCUAACUCUCCACCCAAAAUUAGUGAAAAUUUGCAAUGCCCUUUACUAUAAUUUACGACAUGCAGCAAGAACUCGUCCUUUAUCGUCAUCACACCUUUAUAGCAUGGCCUAAACAACCUGAGCCAAUGGAUUGCUCCGUGAAUUACCUUCAUAUAGGAAUUAGUUGGUGCUUUAUCAAAACUAUAUCAUUUAUUAUAAGCCAAAGUUCUCAACAUAAAACAUAUGCUCCUAUUAGCACGAAAAUUUAUUAACUUUAGAACCCAUCACACCCAACCAACUCCCAAACAAAUGUGAAACAUUUUUAGGUGAUUUGAAAUAAAAGGAGACAUGAACAAUUCUCCAAAAAGAAUUGGCAAUAUAACAAUUAAAGAAUAAAUGUUGGAUAGAUUCAUUAUGCAUAAAAAAACAAGAUUUUGUACUACCAUUCCAAUUUCUUUUUGCUAAAUUGUCCUUGCUUGAAAUUGCCCCUUUAUAAAAAAAACUUUAAAUUUAGUGAAACUUUUAACUUCCGUAUGAACUUAUUCCUCUCUGUAUAACCAUUCUUAAUUAAGGACAAAUGCAUUGAAUGAAUAGAAGGUUGACUAUUUUGGUGGAGAUUCCAUCUAAAAAUAUCUUUAUCCUUAUUUAAUGUAACAUGCACAAUUGAGGCUACCAAGUUAUAUCAUGAAGCCAGAUUUUGAUUCACUAAGAGCAAGUUUAAUAGUAGAGCCAACUUACUAGCUAUAAGUUUAUAUUAUAGUCAACACAUAUAAUAGAUUGACUAUAAUUUUUAUCUUUUAUCUCUUUCUCUUACCUUUGCAUUUAGUGCAUUUUUUUAAGAGUUGGUGUAUAGCUGGUUCUUGCAUGAAAGCCAACCCCACUUCUUUUUCAUUACCUCUUUCCUCCACAUCAGCUUAUAGCUAACUUAUAGUCUACUAUUAUAAUUGCUCUAAUAGCAUGUUCAAAGGUAGAGCUCAUUAUCGACUUUUAUUUGAUAUCCAUGUCAGCAAGAAGAACCUAUUUUGUAAUGAUAUGUAUAAAGGUAGAGUCAGAUAUAAUUUCUUUAUUAAUAUAAUAAAAUAUUUUUUAUUACGUUAGUUUCUUUUCUGUUCACCGUCAUGCAAGAAAGUUUCUUUUAAUAAAUGCAAAGAGUCGACUCUAAGCCGUUGCUAUGCAUGACAACGGUUUUUCUCUCUCCUUCUAUCUCUUUCCUGCAUAUCACCAAAUUUGCUUACGUGGUGACUGAGAGAUUCAAAUCUGUGUAUGUGCCCUAACGAUCUUCUAAAAGAAACAUGUAAUGAAACAAAGUUUAACACAAUAGCAACAGACGCAUUCUUCUUCCGCACAAUGUUAUAUAAAGAGGUAUACUGCUCCUUAAAAGAUAUAUUCCUAAUCCAUUUAUCCUCUCAAAAUCUAACAUUAUUCUCAUGGUUAAGAACAAAGAUUUUCCCAAGUUUAAAAACUUGUCCUUAACAUUGAUAAGUCAAGACAAAAGAUGGGAAUCCCCAGGCUUUUUGUGUACUUGAGUAAUUAUCUAGUUAUUACUCCCUCCAUCCCAAAUUAAUAGUCAUACAAGAGAAAACUAGAAAUCCCAAAUUUAUCAUCAUAUAAGAGAAGAGAGCCUAUUAUGCAUUGAUUGUAGUGUGAAAACUCUUUGGUUAACACGUACAUUAAAUGCUGGCAUGCAUCUGCCCAAUCAGCUUUGAUGUACAUGCAGCUUGGGAUUUAUAACUCUAGUCUUCCAAUGCUAAUUAAAUAGAUUCUUGGUCUUCAUAACUAGACCUUAUAUGAUGAUCAAUUUGGAAUGGAGGGUCUCCUAAGUAUUUUUUGUCAUACGCCAUCCUCAUUGAUCAAUUUAAACAACCAUCUUAUCAGUAGGCAUUGGUUUUGUAUGUCAAUAUUCUAAACACCAAGUCCACCUUGAUCUUUAAGUUGGCAAAUCCCAUCUAGUUUCUAGUCAGAUGAUACCUUUUCUUAUAAUUACCACUUUGCGAAAAAGAAAAAGACGAUUUAUAAUGACCAUUUUUUUCGAGAAACACCUUUGGAACCUUGAAAAAAAAAAGAAAUCAUAAACAUAGCUAGACUUGUUAAAACACAAUUAAAAUCAAACCCAUUGUUUUCCCUUCCGACUACUUACUUUCUUUCCAAUUCUUACAUCAAUCACUUUCCAAUCCUUAUUCGAAAGCUUACUAAAAUUCAUUGUGACCUUUUUGGACUCGAUUAUAGUUUAUCCAUGAUUAAGUACUGAUGGUGCAGCACUCCGCUGCAAACCACUACUAAAAAUACAGGCUAACCAUACAAUCCAGCUUGCGAUAAAGCCUCAAUGACAGAACAAAUAUAUUCAGCAAAUCGGACAGAUAUAAGGAGAUUAAAGAUGAAUGCUCCUAACCCUCCUGCACUACACUGGCUCUCUGAGUACGGCGAGGUGAGGUAGGCAGGGCAGCGGGCAGCCGCACGGGUCCGGUCGCUGCCGUGCCGUGCAGUGCGUUGGUGCAGUCGCGGUCGUUGUGCUCCGUUUGGUAACAAUACGUUUUGUAUGAAUUUUUUUUAUAUGGGUUGUUUAAAAUCAAAUAAAUUUACUUUUACGUUUUUAAUAAUUAAUACUUACGCUAAUUAGGCAGUUUGUUUUACGUGACAUAGAAAAGCUCCAACCAAUAGCUACGACGUUCCGCCGGUGCUGGACCUGGACCAAUCUAUGGGCUGAUUUCUGUCUUUCUCUGGGCUGUUACGCGACAGAACAGUCGAGAACAAAUUGCAGGCCGGACCGACCACGGGUUUUUUUUGUAGUUUGGACUUCUGGUUGCAUCUCGCUGGACGCUCUCCCAGAUCCACGGCUUAACGGCCUUCUCAGUAUGAGGGGCUGUUUGUUUGGAGGUACUUAUCCAUAAGUCUCUUUAUUUUAGUUUCUUUUAGCCUCUAAAAUACUAAAUAUGAGGGACUAAUAGAGAUUAAAACUAUCUAGGUCCAUAAGUCUCUAGGGGAGGUGCUAAAAGGGACUAAAAACCUACAGUACACCUACUCUAAUACUCUAUGUCUAUAGCUAUGUGUGUGAGAUGUGUACUAUUGAGUUAUUUAAUGAGAUUUUAGUCUCUUUUAGUCUCUCCAAAUAAACAGGAUAGAACUAAAAGAGACUUAUGUUUUAGUCUUAGAACUGAUUUUUAAUCCUAGGAAUUAUGGAAACAAAUUAGCUGCUCGAUCGCUGUUUGGUUCUCGCCAUGGUUUUCUGGGUCGUCGAGUUGUGCUCCGAGUCUAUCUCAACUAGAUGGGGCUCCAUGGGUGCUCGGGUAGCGUCCAAAAGAUCAUUCACCUCCCUGUUCGGCUGCUCUUCGGCUCAGGCACAUCCUCACCCCAAGCACUGCUCGCUCGGCCAAACUUUUGUCCACACUCUCGCUACUACUGCAUGCAUCGACAUGUCAGCGUGCAUCUUGUGUACACUAGUACUAAUAUUUCCCAACUUGCAGAUCCAAUUUGGGAAUUCUAUAUGCAUGUGUUCUCAGCCCCAAAAAGAUCGAACACGUGGGAACCCUAUCUCUGAUGCCGGCUUUCUCCUCUUUUUUUCGCCUGGAUAGGCAAUGGCUGCAAUCUUUUGUAAGACAGUGCUAGAUAGACUUGUAAUUAAACAGUGCCACUAUUCGAAAGUCUGUGGGUUUCGAUGGGAAUAUUUCAGAAUUCAUAGGUUUACUGUAGGCCAGCACAUGCACAUCAGAACGAAGCAAAAUGCUGAGCAGAGUUCACCAUUCAGAAUUCUUAAGGAGUUUGAAGCCAUUUCCCGGGACUCCGGCUUCCUGCCAAUCCAUUUUAUAAAAUCAAUAAGCCGCCAAAAAAACGAGAGAAAAAACUCCUCCACAAUCCAACUGAACUAAGGGUCCAUUUCUACUUUCUUCAGCUCAGCUGAAUUUCUGAAACCACAUUAAGUUGAGGUUUCUUCUGGUGUCUUGUCACUGGAACAAUUUGAUCAAGUGACCCAAGACAUAUAUCAUGGGUGUUCCUGCCAUGCGUGGCUCCUAGAAAGCAUUCAACGAAAUCAUGGCGCUCGUGCUUUGCAAAAGGGGAGAGAGAUUCUCUCCUAUCAUCUGAACCAUGCACCUAGCUCUCAAAGCAUAUCCAAACCAUGGAUGCAUGCAUGAUAAUAGACACUGAAACCACGAAACUACAUAUAUAUUCAGAACCCCUAGCUACCGUACUGCACAUAUAAUCGUCGCCAAGCGCCUACCCAUUUGCCAGUGUGUAGUAGCAACCAUAAAAUAGGCUACGGCUCCUUUUACGGGUUAGAGAAAUGGCCUCUCCAGAACUUUCUAGAGGUGCGUGAGAAUCUCAUCUGCCCGAAUGAAGAAUUACACAACCGCCAAAUCGCAACAUGAAACAUGAGAGCACCAUCCACAUAUACCGGGAUGGGCUAAAAUUUUUAAUCACCGCCGCACUUGAGUUAAUCCAAUAUCCCUUCAUUUGGGGAAUCAUCGGCAUGGUCUUUGCGAAGUCGUGGAUACAUAAAUACAUCCACCAGAGUUUAAAUUCUGGUGCGCAUAAAUAUUAUCAGGUACGGUUGCUUAUUAAUGGUAGAAAUUUAGUGAUGUCAGGAUUGACCAUUGCCGGAUUCUCUCGAUCGACUCCGGUAUAUUUUACUUGUAAUAGAAUUUAAUUUAUACCAUUGAUAUUUUUUUAUUAGAUGACUGUGAUUAAACUAUACUACCAACAAUAUUAGGUGUAGUAGAAAUUUGAAGGGGUAAUAGCAUCCUUUUUAGUGUGAUCUUUAUCGAAAAAACAAAAUUAUAAAAUACUGCUAAUCAAAUAAUUAACAAGGUAUAAAAAUACUCUUUUUCUACUGAUAGUAUAAUACUACAAGUAAAAUGCACCGGAAGUUGCCUAACAACUUUAAUAUUAGAGAGGGUAUUGCUAUGAUUGUACGUAUGUACGUGAGUAUGCUGUCUGGAGCGAUCGUUUUGCUCAGUGAGAGAAAAGGUUAAAUAACAUAUUUAUAAAUAAAAAAUAAUUUAUGAAUAAACUUUUUAUAUAUGGGUUCUUAGUGAUUUACUCCCUCUGUUUCUAGUCUUGCCUAGAUUCAUAUAGAUGCUAAUGAAUCCAGACAUAUAUACAGAUUAUAUAUAUUCAUCAAUGGAUGAAUCUAAACAGAACUAGAAAGUCUUACAACAUGAAAUGGAUGCGGUAACAGUUAAGGUUAAAAAAUAAUCUACGAUGAGAAAAACUCAAAAUCUACUAUAAAUUUAUGGUUGAAAAUUCAAAUUCUAGCUUAUAAGUUUAUGUUUAACCGCGUGCGCGGGCACGUUAUCUUUGCAAUAAUCAAUGUUUCGUUCGAUCUAUUGAAAGUGUUGUAAUCUCUGUCAUUGCUACAAGAACUUGGCUGGCCAGCAUUUUUAAGUGCAAACAACGUAGGUAAAUCUGUCUAGUCACUGAGAAAGUGGUUGCCAGUUGCCAUUGUAUUUUGAUGACCAACAUGUGCAGAGAAAACACUUUCAGCAUACCGCCCAUCCAUCUCUUGUCAAAAAGCAUGUACACUUCCCCCACAGGGCAAUGCACAUUAGGCACAAACACUGUUUUGCAUGGCAUCUCAUCACUGUCUUAGAACACAAGUAGUGUGCCAAAGCUACAGCAAAGUCUAAUGAACAGGUGCUGAGCCAUAAUGCGAGUCGGCUUGAUCAGCGGUGGAUUCAUGAAGGCGUAGGUGGAUAGGUGCGCAACGUAAAUAUCAGAGCAAUUAUUGCGACCUUGUGAUGUGUCCAAUGGUGGAAACAACACUGGUGUGAAUGGUAUCUCAAGCUAAGGAUUUUUCAUGGAUUUUGUGUCACAUGACUAAUUCGAGCUAGGGAUUUAAAAAAAAAUAUAUGUGUAAAGAUAAGGAUUUUUUUAAUAUAAAUUCGUCCUUGUUUUAAUAUAACUGCAGAAAUGCGUGGAUUUCAUAGUUUUUCUAAUAGCAACAGAACUAUCGCGAGCUGCUUACUCCACCGACAGGUACAGUUAACCUGGAUGGAGACGGAUUUGUAAUGCAUCUAGUUAUAAGAUUUUAUUUUGUUAAGUAUUGUUCGUACAUCGAGCGAUUCCAGUGUUUGUCCUGUCCAUGUACCAUUAAAGACAUUAAAGACGAGAAUUAGCUUCUCGAUUUUUGGGGGAGACCAAAAUUUUGCCUGGUUUUCUGCAGCUUGGCAGAGGAAAGAAGAGGACGUCUCAGCCUUUUCAGGGUUGUUCUUUCCUUGGUGCAACCCGUAUUUGCUAAAGUUGUUGGCCAUAUAAUCGAGCAGAUGGUAUUUGUUUCAUCAAGCCGUGUUUGUAGUGCUGGUUGAACUGGAAGUGAUUGGUUGUGAGACGAGCUGCUUGUUUCGUUGCUCGCCUUAAUUUGCCAAAAUUUUAUGGCUGUUUGGUUCGUGGUUAAAGUUUACCAUAUGUCAAAUCCUAGGUGUGCCAUAACUUAUUGUGAUACUGUUUGGUUGAGUUUUAUCGUUGAGCUAAGCCACACUUUGUUAGCACAUAAGCAUACGAGGCAUACUCCUUUUUUUUCUACCCAAAGUUUGCCGGAGUUGUGACCAACAAUUUGUUGGCCAUACUUUGAGUGGCUUGCACACACUUUUGAUAAAUUGAGUUGUAGCAAAGUUACGAAGCGUUUGGUUGUCAUUCACAUUUUGCCAUAGUUUGUCAUACGUAAAGUUUAUGUAAAUUUGACAGUUUUUUUGGUUGCAAACACAGUUAUGCCAAGAUUCUCUUCUGGCAAACUAGGGGAUGUUUGGGUGAAGAUCACAUUCUUACAAUUAUGGCAAACAAUUUUGACCAACUUAGCCUAAUGUUUGUUCUGUUGCCACAUGUUUUGGUUUCGUGUCCCUACUUGUCAUAUGAAUAUCUCUUGACUCAAAAUUGCCUAACUUGUGGCCAAUGAUUUAUAAGCCACAGAGACUGCCACAUUAUGCUAUAAAAGUUUGACAAACUGAAGCAUGAAAACUACAUAAGAUCUAGGCCCCACAUGUCAGUAACUUAAAAAAGAGUGGUCACAUUCCUUUAGACUUGUAUUUUAUAAACUUAACUUAGUCAAGUGUGACAACUUCUGUGGGCAAAUGGUGGCAAGGUAUGAUUGGCAACCAAACAAUCCCUUGGUCUCCAUAAAAGGUGUGGUAUGCCUCAGUUUGUAUGUCUUAGAAAUUAUUGGGCAGAAGUUAGACAAGUUUAGGCUAACAAAUACGCAUAUGACAAGUGAGAAUAAAAAAAAAGUUAUCGUAUUGCAAACAUGUGCCUACAAAACAAACACUAGACUAAGCAAAUAUAGGGGCUGGGAACUUCUCCCCUUUUUUUGCAAUACGUAACAACAUUGUAGCAUACUAUUAACUAAAUAUUAGCUAAAGAUAUUAAAAGGUGGAUUAAUAUGUUUAUUUAGGAGAACUACUUAAAAAUUUUACAAAAACCACCUCAUUUACUAGAUGGGGAAACAUGCACGCGGAAAACAUACGACUAGAGGUUGGGACGGAGGGAGAAAAGAACAUACCCUAAAGUUGCUUGACAAAGUUGUGACUUACGAACACCUCCAAUAGAAAUAACCAUUUUUGGAUCUCUAAAUCACUAUUUGACCAACUAUCCAAAAGUUUAGAGAGCCAUUUUUCAUUUUCACUCUAAUAACCACCCCACUACCUUGGGGGUCCCACCUUUUAAAAAUAAGUGUCGAUUGGUGGUCUACAACUAAAUCGGAAUAUAAGUAAGUUUUAAUAGUAUAAUUAUAUUUACCUAGGGGCCUUGAAAAAUAUUGGAACACAUAACUUUCGGCCCACCGCCACCCUUAAUAGUAGUUUCCUAUGAAGUGAGCUCUCGGCUAGCCCGCUCGAUCUCUAUCACUUGAAUGAGUUCUCGUCACCCCCAUAAUCUUAUCGGCUAUAUCAUUUAUUAUAUGAAAUAUAAGCCAUUGUCUUAUUAAAUUGAUAGCUGAGGUGAAUUUUAUAUUGUUUCAGUUACGUCUAAUCUAUUAAGACUGUUCUUAAUAAACUAGAUUGAUUGCAGUGGUAGAUCCACAUUUUGUAAUGUUCAGUCACCCGAUGGCCAUCAAUUCAUCAUGUUGAUAGUGAAUUUUCAUCAUUAAAAUAUUUUAUCUGUUCAAUUAAUCGCACUCUUGGAUUGUCUUGGCUAAGUCUGAUUUAUAAGAUUAUUCUUAGUAAGCUACAUUAAAUAUUUUUAUAAGUCUUAGUUGGUUGAUGAUCUUUAGAGCCUAUCACAUAUUUAUUGCUUUCAUAUUAAUCAUAUAGUCGAUUGUCCUACUACGGUGCUUUUAGGCCAAUUGACUGGUUACACUAAAUGUCCGUUAGUCUAUUGGUCGAUCAGCUAGUUAGUCUGAUCGAACUCUUUCUAUCUUAAUUGUCAAUUGCAGAGGUUAAAUUGACUGGCGUACACCGAAUCAUGAAGACUUUGGGACCUACUAUAAAGUUAAAAGUUAAGUAAAUCUCUCAAGUCUUCUGCGUGUUGGUUAAAAUUUUAUGUCAACGAGAGAGGGGAAAAGAGGGGAAUCUCAUGGUGGACUAUGACCGCGUUCCGAAGAUGAAAGAUGUGGGUUGGAAAAACAUAGUAAUAGAUUAAUACAUGAUUAAUUAAUUAUUAAUUAUAAAAAAUAAAAAAUAGAUUAAUAUGAUUUUUAAUGCAUCUUUUCAAUAAUUUUUUUAUAAAAAAUAUACCGUUUAACAGUUUGGGAAGCGUGCGUGUGAAAAAAAAUCUGGCUUGUUUGUCUUGUCUCCCGAACACGGCCUAUUUUUAGCGAGCUAUUUUGCUUUGAACAGCUAGGGAUGAUAGUUGGCAAGCGUUCGACAUCGGGAUGAAGAGGCUGUUGAAGAAUUCUUUUUCAAAAUUAUUAUAUUUGAACUUAAAAGGUGGGACCGAGAGACAAUUGGUGAUACACUGAUACUCGAACUGUGACCACCAUCCAACCAUCCAGCUGUCAAGUCAAGGUUGCCCUAGUUCAAAAACGGCAUUGGAAAAUAAAACGCCCUGUGUUUAUUUCUAGUACCCUAAAAGCUAACUAUUUAAUUAGGUGCUUCAGUGCUUGUAUAUCGUCACGAUUUAGGGCAAUGCAGUAUGUAGUUGCAUCAAAAAUGUGCGGAUCGAUGAAGCGUCAAAGUGAAGUGUCAUGGGUGGCCUAAUUAAGCGAUAGGAGUAUUAGAGAAAAACAAUCAUAAAUGAGGCAAGCGGCCGGGGUCAGAGUGGGUACAAACACAAGCAAUACUUAGGAUGCGUUCUUUUUUAUCGGUUUAUCCUCGGAUUAUUUUUUAAUUUAUUUAUAUGUAUGUUUUUCUAAACAACUAAAUGGUGUGUUUUAUAAAUAAAACAUUUUAUAUAUAAGUUUAUCAUGUUGCCAUUUUGAAGUAGGUUUUGAACUUUAUGUUAUUUAAUUUCUUGUUUAUAUCUCUAAAUAGAUGUUAAAAUAGAUAAUCUUCGACCUUUUUACAUAUAAAAGCAAGCCUGCGGUAGUUAUAUAUAAGAGUAUUGCUUGUGUGCUCCAGAUGAUUGUUACGUAUGGCAUAAUCAUUCUUUACCUAGAUCGAGACGUGAUGCGGAAUCGGAUAAGCCUUAUGUUUUAGGUAGUGUUCUGGCCUCAACGGAGCAAUCUAAAACAAUGGCGGAAUAAAUCUCCACAUAAUGAUCACACUUAACACCGUCGAUCACAAUGUGCAAAAUGCAGAACAUAGCCGCAAGCGUACUCACUACUCAUCCAAUGCAAACUGAGCAUGGUUACAAGCAAGUCGAUGUCGACAUUCGGGUUGGAGUAGUGUAUGGCAGAGGCAGAGACUAUACUAAAAACUUCCUGGCAGAACACUGGCCAAGAGCACCUCAAUUCCCUCCUCCCUCCGCUUUUCUUCUCCUCGACAGACGAAUGCUAUACUCCGCUGAUCUUCAUCACCGACAACAACGCACACAAACGCAGCUGUCACGUGCGUGCUGUGCUUCUACGGUGCUGCUAGCUUAUUACUGCUGUGAGCUGUGACAGCGUGCGUGCCACAAGGGUUAAAGAGCUGAAUACGACCUGCUCCACCGAGGGCCCUCCCUGGUAAACAGCUACUAGUACACUAGUAUGGAGUGCUAGCUAGAGUUCCUGACCUACACGUACGUCAAACGUUUCGGACCACGGCCUGGACCAGUGGACACGACCCCCCAAGCGAGUGACCACCGGCGAAACCCCCCUCCCCUCCCCCACAUGCACGCCAAUCCCCUUCGCCUCACCACCACCACCGGGUGCCGCCCGGUCGCCCGCUAUACCUCGCUCGGUGGUGUCACAUGGCCCGCCUCCCCGCGCAAGGAUCCAACACUUCGCCGUGUAUAUAAGCGGUGGCAUGGGUAGAGCCUUCCUCACACACCGCGCCCCCGAGCUCGCUUGCCCGGGCGAAAGCUUUACACACAGAGGGGGGAGAGUGUGUAGUGCAGUGAGGUGAGUGAGAAUGGGUGGCAAAGCCGCUCUCGUGAUGGCCCUCGUGGCCAUGAGCGUGGUUCUGGAGGCCACCCCGGCGGACGCCGGCUACGGCGGCGGGUACACCCCGACGCCGAAGCCCGCCCCGAAGCCGGAGAAGCCGCCGCACAAGCCGCCGCACCACCACGACAAGCCGCCACCCAAGGAGCACAAGCCGCCGUCCGGCCACAAGCCCCCGGCCUACACUCCGCCCACCUACACCCCGACGCCCAAGCCGACUCCGACUCCACCGACGUACACGCCGACACCGCCAACGUACACCCCUACUCCCAAGCCGACUCCUCCCACAUACACGCCCACUCCUAAGCCGACUCCUCCGACGUACACUCCCACUCCUCCUACCACAUACCCCAAGCCGACGCCGCCAACCUACAAGCCAACGCCUCCUACAUACCCCAAGCCGACGCCGCCAACCUACAAGCCAUCGCCUCCUACAUACCCCAAGCCGACGCCGCCAACCUACAAGCCAUCGCCUCCUACAUACCCCAAGCCGACGCCGCCAGCGUACCAGCCCCAGCCGAAGCCAACACCUCCUACGUACCCCAAGCCGACGCCGCCGGCGUACCAGCCGCACCCGAAGCCGACACCUACAUACCCCAAGCCAACUCCUCCAACGUACCCUAAGCCUACUCCGCCAACCUACCCCAAGCCGACUCCUCCAGCGUACCCCAAGCCGACACCGCCAACGUACCAGCCGCACCCGAAGCCAACUCCUACGUACCCCAAGCCGACUCCUCCAACGUACCCCAAGCCGACGCCGCCAACGUACCAGCCGCACCCGAAGCCCACUCCAUCGUACCCCAAGCCGACUCCGCCAGCCUACCCCAAGCCGACUCCUCCAGCGUACCCCAAGCCGACGCCGCCAACGUACCAGCCGCACCCGAAGCCCACUCCAUCGUACCCCAAGCCGACU